rnacentral:tRNA from 1 species
GGCUUCUUGGUCUAAUUGGUAAGGACGUCAGCCUCUCAAGCUGGAAAUGUCGGGUUCGAGUCCCGCAGGAGCUA